AGUGAACGCUGGCGGCAGGCCUAAUACAUGCAAGUCGAGCGCAGGAAGCCGACGGAACCCUUCGGGGGGAAGUCGACGGAGUGAGCGGCGGACGGGUGAGUAACACGUAAAGAACCUGCCCUCAGGUCUGGGAUAACCACGAGAAAUCGGGGCUAAUACCGGAUGGGUCAUCGGACCGCAUGGUCCGAGGAUGAAAGGCGCUCCGGCGUCGCCUGGGGAUGGCUUUGCGGUGCAUUAGCUAGUUGGUGGGGUAAUGGCCCACCAAGGCGACGAUGCAUAGCCGACCUGAGAGGGUGAUCGGCCACACUGGGACUGAGACACGGCCCAGACUCCUACGGGAGGCAGCAGUAGGGAAUCUUCCACGAUGGACGAAAGUCUGAUGGAGCAACGCCGCGUGAACGAUGAAGGCCUUCGGGUCGUAAAGUUCUGUUGUAAGGGAAGAACAAGUGCCGCAGGCAAUGGCGGCACCUUGACGGUACCUUGCGAGAAAGCCACGGCUAACUACGUGCCAGCCGCCGCGGUAACAC
rnacentral:rRNA from 1 species